CCUACGGGUGGCAGCAGUGAGGAAUAUUGGUCAAUGGGCGCGAGCCUGAACCAGCCAAGUCGCGUGAGGGAAGACGGUCCUAUGGAUUGUAAACCUCUUUUGGCGGGGAGCAAAAGACGCCCCGCGUGGCGUUCCGAGAAUAACCGAAGAAAAAGCAUCGGCUAACUUCGUGCCAGCAGCCGCGGUAAUACGGAGGAUGUGAACGUUAUCCGGAUUUGUCGGGUUUAAAGGGUGCGAAGGCGGAAGAUCAAGUCGGUGGUAAAAUUGAGAGGUUCAACCUCUUAGAGCCGUUGAAACUGGUGUUCUUGAGUGAGUGAGAAGUAUGCGGAAUGCGUGGUGUAGCGGUGAAAUGCAUAGAUAUCACGCAGAACUCCGAUUGCGAAGGCAGCAUACCGGCGCUCAACUGACGCUCAUGCACGAAAGUGUGGGUAUCGAACAGGAUUAGAUACCCUAGUAGUC
rnacentral:rRNA from 1 species